AACGCAUAUUGCGCUCGAGCCCUCGGGCAAGAGCAUGUCUGCCUCAGCGUCGGUUUAUACCCUCAUCCCUCCCAUGUAUGGGUUGGUCGACUCAGUGCUAGUUGGCUAGGGGGUGGAGCUGGCUUCCCCAAUCUCGUGCAGAUUGGGUUGGCUGAAGAGUAGAGGCUUAAACAAGGACCCGGUAUGGGCUUCAACUGGAUAGGUAGGGCCGGCAACACGCCAAAUCUACACGAAGUUGUAGCUUGAGGACUUUGUUAGGAGCCAAGCAGGAAACAUGCCUACCCGGCAUGCCUAAACUUUCGACUGAGCUCAGGCAAGGCUACCCGCUGAACUUAA
rnacentral:misc_RNA from 1 species